ACCGUUAACACAUUCCUCUAUUAUACUUGAGAUUCUACGGUAGCAAACCAGUUCUCUCCUACACUCAACGCCGUGGAAAGGUGACAAAAUAAAUGAAGACCAACAGAAACGGUCUGGAAAUAACAACUAACAUGCAGAUAACAAUUUCCAAACGAAAAUAAAAUCUAAUAAGCGAUUACCUUCUAGAUAUUCGAGUGUCUGAUAUAAUUAUCCAUUGAGGGGGAAAACAGUGAUCAACCAUCUCAGUUUUGCAUCGUUUAGCAGCAACUAAUACAACCUCCCAGCAAAGUAACUAAGAUGCUACGAGCAUAAAUAUAACUUGCCUAAGAAUCUAGCCAUGGAUGUCUUCCUUGGUUCGAGAAUUCCAAAAACACCAACCCAAGUCAUCAGCUAGACAAAACAUCCAAGUUACUAAUCUUAUUUGCUGAAGUGAUUGACAUGAACUCCACUAGCUAUACCUCUGCAGGUUCUGGCCUUUCCACAUUCGUUGCCACAGGUUCUGGGCUAUCCAAAUCUGUUGCCACACACUUACAUAUAGGCAAGUUCUCAUUCCUACUCAGAAGCUUCAACGAUGGAUGAACCUCAAUAUCGCGCAUGUAUACUUUAUCUUCAAUAUCUAGAUUGCU
rnacentral:lncRNA from 1 species